GACGAACGUUGGCGGCGUGCUUAAUACAUGCAAGUCAACUGAAGCAGUGGUAGCAAUAUCGCUGUGGAGGUGGCGCACGGGUGAGUAACACGUAGGUAAUCUGCCUUCAGGUCUGGCAUAACUCCGGGAAACCGGGGCUAAUAGCAGAUGAUGCAGCGGCUCGACAUCGAGACAGUUGUUAAAGCUAUGUCGCCUGAAGAUGAGCCUGCGUCUGAUUAGCUAGUUGGCGGGGUAACGGCCCACCAAGGCAACGAUCAGUAGCUGGUCUGAGAGGAUGAUCAGCCACACUGGAACUGAGACACGGGCCAGACUCCUACGGGAGGCAGCAGUAAGGAAUAUUGCUCAAUGGGAGAAAUCCUGAAGCAGCAACGCCGCGUGAGGGACGAAGGGCUUUUGCUUGUAAACCUCUGUAGUGAGAGAAAAAAAUCCCAAUCUUUGGGACAUGAUGGUAUCUCAAAAGUAAGCCCCGGCUAACUACGUG
rnacentral:rRNA from 1 species